rnacentral:rRNA from 1 species
AAUUGACGAAAGGGCACCACNAGAAKUGAAGCCUNCGGCUUAAUUUGACUCAACACGGAAAACUCACCCGGCCCGGACACUGUAAGGAUUGACAGAUUGAUAGCUCUUUCUUGAUUCAGUGGUUGGUGGUGCAUGCCGUUCUUAGUUGGUGGAGCGAUUUGUCUGGUUAAUUCCGAUAACGAACGAGACUCCAGCCUGCUAAUUAGUGUGUUCGUCCACUGUUCCUGUGUAGGCGGCGUUCGACAAGGCUGCUUCUGUUUGCUGGCAGCAUGGAGAGGCGCAAGCUGAUCUGUGUUGUUGGUUAAGUUGCGGCUGGCUCGGCGUUAGCUUCCGGGUACGGCGCGGGCACUUACUUCUUAGAGGGACAAGCGGAGAAACCCGCACGAAAUUGAGCAAUAACAGGUCUGUGAUGCCCUUAGAUGUCCGGGGCCGCACGCGCGCUACAAUGACGGUGCCAACGAGUCUGACCUUCUGGCCCGAAAGGGUUGGGCAAACUGGUCAAUCACCGUCAUGACAGGGAUCGGGGCUUGGAAUUGUUCCCCGUGAACGAGGAAUUCCUAGUAAGUGCAAGUCAUAAGCUUGCGCUGAUUACGUCCCUGCCCUUUGUACACACCGUCCGUCGCUACUACCGAUUGAAUGGUUUAGUAAGGUCCUUGGAUUGGCGCCAUUGUGGUGGUUGCCGAAAGGUAAUCACCCGACGUGUGCUGAGAAGACGACCAAACUUGAUCAUUUAGAGGAAGUAAAAGUCGU